rnacentral:tRNA from 1 species
AUGGAGCAGCCUGGUAGCUCGUCGGGCUCAUAACCCGAAGGUCGUCGGUUCAAAUCCGGCUCCCGCAACCA